AUCAUGAUGUAUGAUAAAAUCAAAGCGUGUGGCAAAAGAAUGGGUUCAAAAAAACCAUCACAUAUUUUUGUUCUUCUCUUAUCUCUUCUAAUUUUGAUUUUCACUAUUUCUUCUCAAGUUAGAGUCGUCGAGGCUACAAGCCGCAUACUUGCAAAUGGAAGGACCAUCGUGUGGACUCCAGCAUCAAAGUCAUGUGGAGCUUCUCAUGCAUCGUGGAAGAAGUAUCGCCGACCCUGUAAACGUCCUCCAAGAUCUGCCCCUGCUUCCUACAACUCUCCAUAAGACCAUAAGACAGUUUCACGUUUAGUUUUGGAAUUUCGGGGUUAUGCGAGACAAAAUAAAGUUGGAGUCGUGGAGGCUACAAGCCGCAAACUAAUUACAAGGGGAAAACCCAUCGUGUGGACUCGAUCAUCAAAGUCAUGCGGAGCUUCUUAUGCAUCGUGGUCGAAAAAACCUCGACGACCAUGCAAACGUCCUCCAAGAUAUGUUCCAGUUUCUACUCAGUCUCCCUAAGUACCCUCUCGUUUUUGUGUAAUAUUGGAGUGUAGUGAAGUUUUCGGAAUUCGAGUUUCAUGUAAAAAAAAUAAGGUGAAUUUUCUGAUUUGUAUUCUUGUUUGAAUAAUGUAUGAAAUUAGUGUGCAAUGUAAAAUGAUGAAAUAUACAACUCCAUGUUAUAUAUUUCUGAUUUUUGAAUUAAUCAAUACUAGCAAAUUUCAUGUUA